GUCUAUUAGAAAUUGUUUAUAGUCUAGCCUGCUCACUGACAUAAAGUGUUAAAUAGCCGCGGUAUCUUGACCGUGCAAAGGUAGCAUAAUCAUUAGUUUCUUAAUUGGGAACUUGUAUGAAUGGUUGGACAAAGAAAAAUCUGUCUCUUGCACUAAAAUUGAAUUUAACUUCUAAGUGAAAAGGCUUAGAUUACCCAGAGGGACGAUAAGACCCUAUAAAGCUUUAUAAAUUUAUUAAUUUCGUUUAUUUUUUAUUAUAAUAAUGAUGGUAAGAAAAUUUAUUUGGUUGGGGCAACCGAAGUAUAAUUUUAAAUAACUGCUAUAAUUUAAUACAAUGAUUUUUGUCUUAUACAAUAAUUGAUCCUCAAAGAGAUUAAAGAUCAAGUUACUUUAGGGAUAACAGCGUAAUUUAUCCUGAGAGUUCUUAUCAAAGGAAAAGUUUGCGACCUCGAUGUUGAAUUAAAAUGUCUACCUAGUGCAGCAGCCAGGAAAGAAGGUCUGUUCGACCUUUAAUUUUUUACAUGAUUUGAGUUCAGACCGGCGUGAG
rnacentral:rRNA from 1 species